ensembl:lncRNA
UUUUUUACAUUCCCUUAUUGUAUAGUUUUAUCUUAUAUUUUAUAUUUGAUCUUGAUUUUUAGGCUCUACUGUUAGUGUUAUCUGUAUGCACCGGGGGUCUGAGAGUAACGCAAUUUCGAUUCUCUGUAUGUAUGUACUGUACAUGUGGAAGAAUUGACAAUAAAGCAGACUUGACUUGACUUGACUUGUUGUCUUUGAGAAACUGGGAUUUCUUGGCAGCUUUCCAUAAGGCAUCAUGGAUAACCCGUGAGGUGAACUGCAUGAUAACGGCACAAGGUUUUGUGUUGUCACCUCUCCUCCCUAACCGAUGCACAGUGUCAACAACAUCAGGGUACUUGCUCUUGGCCUCGGGAUAAGUCUCACUGCAGAUUCGAAUGACCUCGGAUCUGAUAUCUUCUUUGAAAGUCUCAGGCACUCCAAACAAUCUCAAAUUCCACCUGCGAGAGUAUCUCUCCAGAUCAGAAAUGCGUGUUUCCCAGAUGCUCGUGAGACGUUCUUGAUCUUUAAGCCUGGAAUCUGUAACAGAUGGUUAUAUCUUAAACUCGGAGGUGAAACAUCAGGACACGCAAACAGCUCUGUUAUUGAACAUCCAUUUAUUCUUCUUUUCCCAUUACCCCCUAUAACCUUUUUCUGCACAGGAGUGCCCUCUAGUGUUCUGUUGGUUACACUACAUCCCCCCCUUUUAGUCUCAAAAUCUCAUUAUUAUUAUUCUACAUACUUAUAUCCCCAUGGUUAUAUAUUCUCUUUUUUUUUCUUCCAGGGAACAAACAUCUCAAUAACAUAACAUUGAACUUUCUUUCUUAAGCUGGAAGCCAGGGUAGACUACCUGGGCAUUCCUGACUCUGCUGAAGGGGUUAUUCUGCCCUUUUCUUGACAGCAGGUCUACCUAUGCUAAUUCAUCUUAUAAGUCCAUUCUUUCUGGUGGACGGGAAAUCCUACCUGACCUUGUCACUGUAACGUUGACCUCUUGCUGAGUUGGUUCUGGAAGAACAGUAAGAUGAGCUCGAUUCCUUCUCAGUGUUCCCAUCUCUGUUUCUACCUGAUACGAUCUUGGCGUUGCUGCUUCCCCCCGGACCGUUCCAGUGGUUUUCGAUGUCCUGAUCCACACUUUCUGUCCAGGUCAGGCCAUCUUGGGGUGAGAGAUUUAGGUGGAACUGGGACUGUUGACCUUAUUCUUCUCCCCAUCAAGAGUUCUGCAGGUCCCGAUGGCGCUCGUGACAACGCAUCUGCCGUGACCAGUUGUUUUCCUGGAACGUACAUGAUGUUGUACUUGUAUCUGAGCAGCCUCAGUCUGAAACGAAGAAUUCUUGGAGGUAAAUCAUCAAUUGGUCUGUUGCCCAACAGUGAUAUUAGGGGUUUGUGGUCGGUAUGCACUGUAAAUUCCAAUCCAAGCAAAUAUGCACUGAGUCGCUCACAUGCCCAUGUUGUCGCAAGAGCUUCUUUUUCAAUUUGUGCAUAUCGUGUCUCUGUGGGGGUUAGACUCCUUGAGAUAUAUACGACAGGCCUCCACUCACCAUUUUUUUGUUUCUGCAUGAGCACCCCGCCUAGACCAUAA